CUCUCUCGCGAGAUCUCACUAAGGAGCGACGUGUGACUUGGGCAGCACUAUUAAGAACAAGCUCUCCUGUGUGUUGGUUUGUCUGCUUCUAAUUUCCCAGCUACGACAGCAGACACGUCAUCGCAAACAGUGUGACAAUACAUUGCCCUUCGCGUUAUGUUUGCAGGUUAUUUCGGUUGCACACACACACCGCAUUUGUGGGCCGAAUGAUGUGUACUUGAUUUCGACAUUUCCAUGGAGAAUUACUGACUGGCCACUACUCUCCGAUUAAAUGAACUGCUAAGAACAAAGUGUGAAGACCUCUCUUACGCCCUGGUAGAGGAAUGCCGCAGAAGAGGAGAAGCAGGAGCGGAGGAGGCAGAGGGAGCAUGAUAUACGCACGCCGAUUCGUCUCGGGUGACAUCAAAGACAAACCAUCGUAACCGACGGUUACAGUAAUUUAUACUGAUAUUCCACGUGUUUUUUUUAGAAAGAAUUGGUUGUAUUUUAUGCUAAUCCUUUAUUGUAAGUUCAGUCCCAUAUGUAUGAGCAUGUGGUCUCGCGUUUUAUGUGUACGACUGCGGCCCGUUGUCAGAACAACUAGCACUAGAACUAGAACAACUAGCUAUAAAACUAGAACAAGUAGCACUAGACCUUGUAGAACUAGAGCAACUAGCUCUAGAACUAGAGCAACUAGCUUUAAAACUAUAACAAAUAGCCCUAGAACUAGAACAACUAGCUCU